UAGUCAUAUGCUUGUCCUAAAGAUUAAGCCAUGCAUGUCCAAGUAUAAACCUUUAUACGGUGAAACUGCGAAUGGCUCAUUAUAUCAGUUAUAAUUUACAUGAUGAUGACUUGCUACAUGGAUAACCGUGGUAAUUCUAGAGCUAAUACAUGCAAAGGGCCCGCGAGGGUGGCAUUUAUUGGAUGGAACCAGCGAAAGAUGGUGAAUCAUGAUAACUGAGCGGAUCGCAUGGCCUCGAGCUGGCGACGCUUCAUUCAAAUUUCUGCCCUAUCAACUUUGGAUGGUAGGAUAGAGGCCUACCAUGGUGGUGACGGGUGACGGGGAAUUGGGGUUCGAUUCCGGAGAGGGAGCCUGAGAGAUGGCUACCACUUCCAAGGAAGGCAGCAGGCGCGCAAAUUACCCAAUCCCGACACGGGGAGGUAGUGACAGUAAAUAACGAUGCGGGGCCGUAUGUCUGCAGUGAAGAGAGAAUAA
rnacentral:rRNA from 1 species